UGACAACAUCGAGUUUCCGGAUGAGGUCAAGGUCAACCACUCUGGAGACAUCAAGGAUGAGCAGUGUUUCAUCGUUUACAAAAAAAACCUGCUGCAACUCGUCACCUUCCUGCUGCACCUUCCAGAAGAGAUGAAGUGCAGAGAGCCAGAAUGUACAAGUACCGUACGCCUUGGCCCUGACCCAGUGACCAAAUCUGUUGGCAGCGGAAUGGUCCUUAAAUGGUACUGCAGUGAUGGACACCUUCUCUGGAGGUGGUGCAGUCAGCCCACAUUCAAAUAUGAUCCAGUUGCAGUACUGUGUGCCGGUAAUCGACAGAUUCUGGAAAAGACAACUGAAUGCCCUCAUUCCCGAGAUGAAGAGGAGGAACAGUGUUGUUCUGCUUGGAGACGGAAGGAUGGAUUCCCCUGGCCAUUCUGCACAAUACUGCACUUACACUGUCAUGGAUGAAAAGACGAGAGCCAUC
ensembl:lncRNA